ensembl:lncRNA
CUCAUGUCGGGGAGGCUGACACCAUGGAAAGCUGGGAGCCUCUUGCCAGCUGGAUUGGAUGCUUCUGCAGUAUGCCGUAAGAGUCAUCGCUGUAACUACAUGCAACGUGUGGGAAUAGGGAAGCCUGCCCUGUCAGAGUGUUGAAAGCGAUCUCCAUCUGUUCUGGGUACUGCUCGCUCAUCAUCUGAUGGAUGCACACUACCCCUACUUGUGCCUUUCCUUCUCCUUGCUCCUUCCCUGCUAGUACAGUGGAAGCAGAUGUGUUUGCCUUUUACAGUGUUUGUUAUCAAGCUCCAACUGAGUAUGCUGAAUCACAGUGCUGCCUGAACAACCCAGUCUGAAAUACCAUGCUGCCCAUUUGGGAGAGAGAGGAAGCCCAGAUUUUGAGCUGGUGGUCAGAAAACAGGAGACACAGCAUGCCUGGUAGGCUGCACUGCAGUACGAAUCAAGCUUCACGGGUGCUGUCAGCCAUGCACAGCUCCUCCCAGCCAGUCUUGGGACCAAGAGAACAAAUAAAGCCUGUAAACUUCACCUCCCCAGAAACCGAUUUCCAUAUCCACUGGACUGCUACUACUGUGAGCUGCAGCUGCCACUUCUCUUGCAAUUCAU